rnacentral:rRNA from 1 species
GAUGAACGCUGGCGGCGUGCCUAAUACAUGCAAGUCGAGCGAACAGACGAGGAGCUUGCUCCUCUGACGUUAGCGGCGGACGGGUGAGUAACACGUGGAUAACCUACCUAUAAGACUGGGAUAACUUCGGGAAACCGGAGCUAAUACCGGAUAAUAUAUUGAACCGCAUGGUUCAAUAGUGAAAGACGGUUUUGCUGUCACUUAUAGAUGGAUCCGCGCCGCAUUAGCUAGUUGGUAAGGUAACGGCUUACCAGGGCAACGAUGCGUAGCCGACCUGAGAGGGUGAUCGGCCACCCUGGAACUGAGACACGGUCCAGACUCCUACGGGAGGCAGCAGUAGGGAAUCUUCCGCAAUGGGCGAAAGCCUGACGGAGCAACGCCGCGUGAGUGAUGAAGGUCUUCGGAUCGUAAAACUCUGUUAUUAGGGAAGAACAAAUGUGUAAGUAACUAUGCACGUCUUGACGGUACCUAAUCAGAAAGCCACGGCUAACUACGUG